rnacentral:rRNA from 1 species
GACGAACGCUGGCGGCGUGCCUAAUACAUGCAAGUAGAACGCUGAAGACUUUAGCUUGCUAAAGUUGGAAGAGUUGCGAACGGGUGAGUAACGCGUAGGUAACCUGCCUACUAGCGGGGGAUAACUAUUGGAAACGAUAGCUAAUACCGCAUAACAGCAUUUAACCCAUGUUAGAUGCUUGAAAGGAGCAAUUGCUUCACUAGUAGAUGGACCUGCGUUGUAUUAGCUAGUUGGUGAGGUAACGGCUCACCAAGGCGACGAUACAUAGCCGACCUGAGAGGGUGAUCGGCCACACUGGGACUGAGACACGGCCCAGACUCCUACGGGAGGCAGCAGUAGGGAAUCUUCGGCAAUGGGGGCAACCCUGACCGAGCAACGCCGCGUGAGUGAAGAAGGUUUUCGGAUCGUAAAGCUCUGUUGUAAGAGAAGAACGUGUGUGAGAGUGGAAAGUUCACACAGUGACGGUAACUUACCAGAAAGGGA